CCCGAAUAUAUUUGUAUAAUGUUAUCAUAUCCCCUCUCAUGCAACGUUUUUCUAAACUAAAUAGGUUUAAAUUUGUUAACCUUUCUUCAUAGCUGAUAUGUUCCAUUCCUUUUACUAAUUUUGUAGCCCGCCUUUGCACUUUUUCUAGUGCCAUAAUAUCCUUCUUUAGAACAGGUGCUCAAAAUUGCACAGCAUAUUCAAUAUGCGGUCUUACCAGUGAUUUAUAAAGAGGCAAAAUUAUAUUUUCAUCCCGAGAAUG